rnacentral:rRNA from 1 species
GACGAACGCUGGCGGCGUGCCUAAUACAUGCAAGUCGAGCGCAGGAAACUGACGGGACUCUUCGGAGGGAAGGCAGUGGAAUGAGCGGCGGACGGGUGAGUAACACGUAAGGAACCUGCCUCAAGGAUUGGGAUAACUCCGAGAAAUCGGAGCUAAUACCGGAUAGUUCAACGGACCGCAUGGUCCGCUGAUGAAAGGCGCUUCGGCGUCACCUUGAGAUGGCCUUGCGGUGCAUUAGCUGGUUGGUGGGGUAACGGCCCACCAAGGCGACGAUGCAUAGACGACCUGAGAGGGAGAUCGGGCAAACGGGGACUGAGACACGGCCCAGACUCCUACGGGAGGCAGAAGUAGGGAGUCUUCCACAAUGGACGAAAGUCUGAUGGAGCAACGCCGCGUGAGUGAUGAAGGUUUUCGGAUCGUAAAACUCUGUUGUAAGGGAAGAACACGUACGAGAGGGAAUGCUCGUACCUUGACGGUACCUUACGAGAAAGCCACGGCUAACUACGUGCCAGCCGCCGCGGUAAUAC